ACUUCAACUUUCAUGUCAAAUGCUCAACCUCCAAAUGCCAUACCUUUUCUUCUUUCUUUUCUUGUAAACCUAAUAUAUAUAUAAACAAAGAUGAAAAAGGCAUAUUUGCAAAUGCCCAAAAUCUUCUACCAUUUUGCAUCAUUGACUUUAGUUGCCUCUUUCAGUCCAUUGUGAUAUGUAUUCUAUUGAAGCUUUGUCUAUGUGACAUGCACAGGUCCACACGGACACAGCCACUUUAUAAAAUAUAGUUUUUUUUCUUUCUUUUAAGUCAUUUAUUUUUGAUAAUAAUAGUGAAAAGAACUCUCCAUCCCCUUACUUUUCGUUCUUGCUAUGAAAACAACUCUCUUCUCAUUCCUUCUUUUUUUUUUUUGAAUUUUGUCGUUUCUAUAUGUUUUUAUUUUCCUUGAAUUUAAUAAGUUUCUCCGGCACGUUUCAUCUUUUGAAAGCCUCCAUGACAUGUGUAUGAUUCAUUUCUCUGUGUUCAUUGCGGGAAUUAGAUUGGCAAUAUAUCACACAAUCUUAGGUAUAGCAUGUAGGCCUAAUAUGAUGCAUCUUGGUGGAACUGAGAUUUGGGUCCUUUUGUUAUAGA